rnacentral:tRNA from 1 species
AGUUUAGUAUAAAUGUAAUACAAAAGAUUGUAAUUCUUUGAAUAAUUUUUUAAUUAACUA